AGCGAACGCUGGCGGCAGGCUUAACACAUGCAAGUCGAGCGGGCAUCCUUGUGGUGUCAGCGGCAGACGGGUGAGUAACGCGUGGGAACGUGCCCUUCGGUUCGGAAUAACUCAGGGAAACUUGAGCUAAUACCGGAUACGCCCUUUUGGGGAAAGGUUUACUGCCGAAGGAUCGGCCCGCGUCUGAUUAGCCAGUUGGUGAGGUUAUGGCUCACCAAGGCGACGAUCAGUAGCUGGUCUGAGAGGAUGAUCAGCCACACUGGGACUGAGACACGGCCCAGACACCUACGGGAGGCAGCAGUGGGGAAUAUUGGACAAGGGGGGCAACCCUGAUCCAGCCAUGCCGGGUGAGUGAUGACGGCCUUAGGGUUGUAAAGCCCUUUUCUCCGGGACGAUAAUGACGGUACCGGAGGAAUAAGCCCCGGCUAACUUCGUG
rnacentral:rRNA from 1 species